AAAAUAUAAGAACCCGUCUCUUAACUUUUAAUUAAAAAAGCUAAGAACCGGCUCUUAAAACUCUUAUUUAAAAACCGGUUCUUAACUUUUUUAGUUAAAAGUUAAGAGACGGGUUCUUAUAUUAU
rnacentral:pre_miRNA from 1 species